GACGAACGCUGGCGGCGUGCUUAACACAUGCAAGUCGAGCGGUAAGGCCCUUUCGGGGUACGACGAGCGGCGAACGGGUGAGUAACACGUGGGUGACCUGCCCUCAGCUCUGGGAUAAGCCUGGGAAACCGGGUCUAAUACUGGAUAUGACUCCAUGACGCAUGUUGUGGGGUGGAAAGCCUUGUGCGGCUGAGGAUGGGCCCGCGGCCUAUCAGCUU
rnacentral:rRNA from 1 species